UACGUAGGGGGCAAGCGUUGUCCGGAAUCAUUGGGCGUAAAGAGCGUGUAGGCGGUCCGGUAAGUCGGUUGUGAAAGCCCAGGGCUCAACCCUGGGAUGCCGACCGAUACUGUCGGACUAGAGUUCGGAAGAGGCGAGUGGAAUUCCCGGUGUAGCGGUGAAAUGCGCAGAUAUCGGGAGGAACACCUAGGGCGAAGGCAGCUCGCUGGGACGUGACUGACGCUGAGACGCGAAAGCGUGGGGAGCAA
rnacentral:rRNA from 1 species